AAAAUCAAAAACAAAAAAAAUGAUAUACAUUACCAUGCAAACUUCCACCGAAAAUUGGUUUGAACGAGAUCUAGUAAGUAGUUUUUUUUUAAUACGUCAUAAAUGGUACGGAACCCUUCAUGGGCGAGUCCGACUCGCACUUGGCCGCUUUUAUUUAGGAUAGCCUUUGUCUUUUCGGUCGUUUUCGUCAAGAGGCAUAAAACCAUUUUUUGUACUUGUAGGUGAGCUUCCUAUACAUUAAUGUUACUGGGACAAUAGGCGGACCCAGUGUCUGAGAAAUGUGAAUCGCAGCUAGCAGUAUUUUCAUUUUCAGAUGUUCAGGAAAUCUGAAUAAAAUGGCCAGUUUUUCGUCCAGAAUGUGAUAAGGGGCAAUAUGUGCUAGUGCUAGGCACAUCUCCAAAAUAGUCGGUUGCGGGUGAUAAUUGGAUUAUCUCUCCAUUUGAUUCGUCUAAUAUAUAGUUGAGACUGCCCGAGAAGUGAUCAUUAUAAGCUUCUACACUGGUCUGCGGCAAGGUUGAUAGGAAGUCAGUAUCACCCACGAAGCCUUCCUUCGCAGUUUGAAAUAACCCUUCCUUGUUCCUUUAGAAUUUCCAUCAUGGAUAAUGUGUAGGUAUUUUAUUGUAAUAAUCACAUGUACUUGGAAAAAUUACUAAUGACAGUGACAGGAUAGUUAUAGUUUUUCUUAUCUGACACUUAUCUUAGGUAUCUUAGUGGCCAAGUACCUCAUCAAAUAAAAAGGUAAAAGAUAGAUAGCAAAGUUUAUCCUGUUUAUGUAUUAACAAGGUUUAUGCAGUUACGAAAAUUGUGUCAAUGAGAUACGAGGAAACCAUAUCACGAUUUACUCUUAACUCUUUGCUUGGAUCAAGAUAAGAGUUUAUUUUAACGAUUUAACACAAAAAGGCCUAGACAUAUACGGAAAAACACAAAAAGAGGUCAAUAAUUCAGAUACGAGGUUGAGUAAGUAUAGCGACGAAAUAAACAAAGUCGGAAUUUUAGUUUUCAUUGUACAGUAUCAGUUGCAUAGAGUACUAUGUAUAAUUGUACAAUAAUGGAUGCGUUGUUUUUAAAAUGGACCUCGUAAAACUAAAAAUGAACACAACGUUACAGUUCUAUCGUAGAAUAUUGCGUUCUAGGGAGGUACAAACGCUAACAAUAGAAACAAGGGGUCGCCUGUCGCCCCAGCGCUCCCUUUGUGGAUAGGACAUUAUCAGAUUCCCUUUUAGAAACUGACUGUUAUGUUUAGUAGGUAUAAGUAGUUUAAACAGUCCUGUGUUGACGUCUUUAAUCAUGAGCAUGAUAGCUAUUUAAUGCCAUACCUACUCCAAAAUAUGACAGACGCAGUUGAUUGUUUGAAUUUUCACUCUAGCAAAAUUGUACGAGAAGAUAACAGGAAAACGCCAAUAGAGUCUAGCUAACCAAAUAUUGUUGACAGAUAUUUCCUUGUUGUAUCACCAAUUGUCUAUGAUUAAAAAAAAAGGUAAAAGUCUGUUGUCAAUUUAUGUCAUUCAUUUAAAUUGUUCGCCGUUUAUAAGGGGUUUAUUUCAGUUUAUUUUAAAUAAUAUUAAUAAUGACUAUACCGAGUGAGGUCCGCAAACUAUUAUUUAACCUCGUAAAUAAUUACGACAAUGUGCGAAGUCGACGUAAAACGUUGUAUAACGAAAAACUGCAAUGUUUACAAGGUUGGUGCUCUAUUAAUAUUUUGAUACAUUAAGUAGGUACUAGUUCUAACAUUUGCCUAUAACUUUGAUUAAGUACGUGAAUUUCUUAAUACCUGAAUCUCAUGAACAGGACAAGUGUGUAAACAAACGGAUAAACUAGAAGUUCUGAAAAAUAUCAUUAAAAUCAAAACAUUGUUUACUGAACACCAUACAUACGAGUUACUGAAAACCAAUAUUUAGAAGAAAUCUGUGGAGUGACUGCGUCCUCGACUAAGUGCGGACCGAGAGAAGCAAGCGUGCUCCACUUGCAGGAAGGAGGAGCGCGCGCGGCGCAUCGCUUGUGGGCCCUGAACUUGCACAACUCGCAGGCUAACGCGUGUGCUGUGCCCAGCGCGCCGAACGGCUCGCGGCACACGUUGCAAAACGUUGGCCGGGCGUGUGUUGCUGAGUACCUAUUACAAACGGAUAAAACAUUGUCUUAACUGGAAUCCUGGUUGUGUAUAUAUAAUACUUUUGUAAUUUUUAUUUUUAUAAUAAACUAGCUGUUAUCCACGA